GAGGGAGUCAGUGUUAGCAGCUGCAGUCUACACUACAGACUUCUGCCAGCGCAGCUAUGUGAGAUUACCCAGAGAUAAGGAGUAGAGGGAGAAGAGAAGGGGACCAAGGACAGAGCCCUGUGGAAGCCAUGCAGAAAACUGCAGGGCAGAUGAGCAGGAUCCUUCAAAGGAUAUGCUGAAAGUGUGAUUAGAGAGGUAGGAAGAGAACCAAGUGAGGACAGACUCACAGAAGCCUUGGGAGGACAAGAUUUCAAGAAGAAACGCAUGGUUGACUAUGUCAAAGGAGAUGGAAAGGUCAAGGAGGAUGAGGAUGGAGUAAUGUUCUGCAAUUUGGCUAAGAGGUCAUUAGAGACUUUGAUGAGAGCAGUUUCAGUGGAGUGCAAGGGGCGGAAGCUGGAUUGGAGAGGAUCUAGCAGGUCCCACUGACUCCUAACUACUGAGUACCUCCACAGCAGUAAAGGAGCAGUCUUGGAAUGGCCCCUAAAGAAUGUGGAAAUGUCCCCAGCUGAACACAGGAGGAUGGUGCAGAAAUGGUGAAGCACUGGAAUGCAGGCAUAGGGUGUCUUGGUGAAGAGCCAUUGAAACUGAGCAGGGAACACAUUAACACUGACUCAUGGGGUCAAGAAGGGUGAAUCCGCAUCAUUGAUUCCUGCAGACAGAAUGGAAGAUGAAGAAAAAAAGAAUGAAAACCGGGCAGUGGGGGGAGAUAAGAGAGAAUGUUCUUUCUCUUGGCUGGUCCUGUGGAAGAAACGAACUCCGCUCUCAGGUUAGAAGCAACAAAAUCAGAGACCGCUUUAGUCAGGACAUGCAAUUGCAAGGGAAGAACACAGUUGACAGAGCAUCUCUGCCUCAGUUUCUCCAAAGUACAAGCAAAAUUAC